UACGGGGGGAGCAAGCGUUGUUCGGAUUUACUGGGCGUAAAGGGCGCGUAGGCGGUCAGCACAAGUCAGUUGUGAAAUCUCCGGGCUUAACUCGGAAAGGUCAACUGAUACUGUGCGACUAGAGUGCAGAAGGGGCAACUGGAAUUCUCGGUGUAGCGGUGAAAUGCGUAGAUAUCGAGAGGAACACCUGCGGCGAAGGCGGGUUGCUGGGCUGACACUGACGCUGAGGAGCGAAAGCGUGGGUAGCAAACAGG
rnacentral:rRNA from 1 species